AUUCCGCGCCUCUUAUUAUUAUUAUUAUUAAUCGUGGGUGGUAAUUAUAAUCAUCAGAUUUAUUUAUUUCUGAAAUACAUGAAUAUUUUAUUCUAUGAUUUUUUUCUUUAUAAGUACUUUUUGAAAUUUUUAUCGAAACAAAAUAACAUACAAAAUAAUACAUUUUUAUAAUAAUUCAUUUUUAGAAAUAUAUAUAACACAAUUAGGUAUUCUCGCAGGCUAUUGUUAUAAUCGUCUGCAUAAUACCUUAUCAUCGCAAUGCAAUUGAAAAUUAUGUGUACCAAAGCUAUUGAGUCAGAAUAGAAAGAGUCUCGGGAUUGUAGUUGCGAAAUGCAAUACAAUAAUGUUUAAAGUGGAGAUGUUUCAAAAGAGAAAUAUAAAAUAAACCAUUAUAAUACACAA